GUUGUACCACAAUAGCCAGAAUCAUAAGUCAAACUCAAUUUUAAAAACUGUAAAGGGUUCUUAUGAAGGUGGUGUGAGCGUAUAUUUUGCAAUUUGUAGACAUAAGCCAUGUGACCUAAUGAAACUUUGACAGUUUGUGAUAGAAGUUAACCUGCAAGACAGUGGAGCACAAAGGCUCUGAAGAAGAGGCCGAGUUACUGACAUGCAGUAACAGGACACGAGAGAGAGAGAGAGAGAGAGAGAGAGAGAGAGAGAGAGAGAGAGAGAUGGGGGGACAGGGAGGGAGAGAGAGAGAGUUUGCUGACAUAUUGACAUAUCUCACACGUUCACAUACUUCCUGUUUGUGGCAGACAAAGUUACAGAUUGCACUCAGUAUACAUAAUGUUGUAUGCAUCAAAAACACAGCAUUUAAUUUUUCUGUCAAUUACAUCAAAAGACAGGUGUUUGAUGAGACUACUGUGUUGUUGAAUGUAACAUUUCCUCAAAGAUGUAUAUUCUUUCCUGAUGUUUGUAACAAUGUUACUGACUUGUACUUGAAAUGAGGUGAUUUACUGCAACCCUCCAGGUCAGUCUCUUGGGUUCAGAGACAUAAAAUUGAUAAAAUACAUGGAAAUACUUUUAAGGUCAUUUUAAAGUAAUUUAAAACCUCAUGUGUGUGUGACCACACACAUACACACUUCACUCUGACACACAGACUGUCAGAGUGAAGCCUUUGUUAUGCUAAUUAAGGACUGCAUGCAGCUCAGACACAGAGCAGAAUGGCUUGAAACUUUCUCAAACAAAUGCUUCCAGAUGCCAAACCGUGGGUCCCAUCUUCAAUCUGAAAACAUCACCAGAUAGAUAAAUUUGUUCUGAACGCAAACAUAUAAAGCUUGUAUGUCUAUGGACUGAAAAAUGUCACCUUAAUCACAGGUUUACAGUGUGUUGGCCCUCAUCUUUUCUUCCAGAGAUCAUCAUGAGGAGUUGUGUCCUGCACCUUCUAACGCUUCUUAAAUCCAAACCGUUCAAGUUAUGACAAAGUCCUUCACAAGUAAUGUUCAGCAGGGGUAGAGCUGUAAUUUGUGCAAGUUUGAAGCAGUUAUGAUAAACGGUGUAGGAGCAAAUAAUUUUUGAUCGACAGAAUUUGUGAAAAACGCCAUCUUACAUUCAAAGACCGACAGCUCACUUCCUGUUGGAGUUAGGUCAGGGGUUGCAGCGCGACAUUUGUAGGUCUUUAUGAGACGAACGAGACAGUUUUGGUUUGGUCUUUCUAAGUGGUUCCUACCCAUCGCACCGGGCAUUUUAGUGUGUCUAGGUGGCACAACAAAUCCUCAGGAGGUUUUGGCGCACAUCACCUGAAACGCGUCAUAACAUCCAAACCAGUCGAGGAUUGAAAAAGUUACGCACAAUAAUUGAUAAGGACAAGUUGAAGAAUAAUGUGUGCGAGUUUGAAGCCGAUACGAUAAACGGUGUCAGACUAGUUGAUUUUUAAAGGAAUUUUUUUUUUGAGGAAAACUCUUAUUUUGAAAGGGAAAUAUCUCACUUCCUGUUGGAGUUAGGUCAUGGGUGCGAGCGCGUGAUUUGUAGGUCUUGAUGAGACAAACGAGGCUGUUUUGGUUUGAUCUUCCUACGACGUUCCUACUGGCUGCAGCGGCCAUUUUUGUGUUUCUAGGUGGCGCUAGAGAGCCCAUUUUGGCACUUUUCAGAUUAAUUUCGUCAGUUUAUAAAAUUUUUCGCCAGUCCUGACAGGCAUGCCAAUUUUGGUGAGUUUUCGAGCAUGUUUAGGGGGUCAAAUUCCAGUUGAAAGUCGCGUACGCUGAAAGAAAGAAAGAAACAAUAAUAAUAAUAAUAAUAAUAAUAAUAAUAAACACUACAAGAACAAGAGGGUCCUCGCCCUUUCAGGCCGAGGUCCCUAAUAAUAAUAA